UUUCCUGCCCAAAGUUUGGGGUUGGGAGGGAAUUCCCAGGGGUUCCCAGGACUUGGGCUCGCCUCCCAGAUCCCGCAACCUUUGCGUGCCUAGCCUCGGCAAUGACCGCCCAUCUGCCACGAGGGGGCGGCAGCGCACCGUUCAGACGCUGCGCCCCUGGUGCAUUAUGGGUCGCGUAGUCUCAAAGGUGGCAUAAGCAUCCUGGAACGCAAACGGCAUUUCCCAGAAAACUACGCGACAAUCUGAGCCUGGUCUUGCCCAGAGCUGGAAGCUGAGGUCUCGCCCCUGCCGGCGUUGCGGGGGAUUGUGGGAUGUAGGCAUUUGGCUCCGCGCUCCGCGAAGGGCGGUGCAGCGCAGGCGCGGGCAUCCGGUACAGACAGCCGAGCUUAAUCUGAGGCGGGGAACCAGCGUCCCGGGGGAGGCGCCGAAGCUGACUUUCUGGCCGCAGUGGAAGUGAGGCGAGCGAGCUCCCUUAGUGGCUGGAGCCGGCUGGGCCUCCUUCCUGUCCUCCUGCUUUCCUGCAUCUCUACUUGUCCCUUUCCCCGGGCUCCUGGUCCGCUCCCAAGCCUGUUCAAGCACGAGGCGUUUCCAUCUAAAAAAAGAAAAGAAAUCUCUUUUGCCGGGCGAGAUGUCAGAGCCCCGGGAGCGAAAGUGUUGGUAAUGUUAGACAGAAUGAGUUCCUCUUCAAAAAUCUAACUUCCUUGUCCUUUGCUCUAUGAACUGUCCUUCCUGCAGAAACUGCCCUUACCGGGGAAACUGCCCCUCCCCGCCGCUGCAACCCAUACCCCGCCUCUAUUAGAAAUAGGCAAUCGGAAUCAGCUUAGAUUGUGAGGUCCAACCCUAGCCAACGGGGGUUAAAAACCCCUGCUCUCCUUUAUUAGGUGUGCUUUUGGUACAGGUCUGGGCAGCACGCUUCUGCAGAAGUAAACUUUGCCUUGCUAAGAAACUUUUCUCCGAGUGCUGGUCUCUCUCUGUGGCACCAAGAACUUAUUUCUAACAGUAAGAAGAAUUUACUGAGGACAGCGUAGGCUUGAAAAAGAAAAGUUUUACUAGAAAGAAUGCUGCCGGGCACUCACGCCUGUAAUCCCAGCACUUUGGGAGGCCGAGGCAGGUGGAUUGCCUGAGCUCAGGAGUUCGAGACCAACCUGGGCAAUACAGUGAAACCCCAUCUCUACUAAAAUACAAAAAACUAACUGGGCAUGCCAGCAUGUGCCUGUAGUCCCAGCUACUUGGGAGGCUGAGGCAGGAGAAUUGCUUGAACCCAGGAGGUGGAGGUUGCAGUGAGCUGACAUCAUGCCACUGCAUUCCAGCUUGGGUGACAGAAUGAGACUCCAUCUCAAAAAAAAAAAAAAAAAAAAAAAAUGAAGGAAAGAA
rnacentral:lncRNA from 10 species